GAUGAACGCUGGCGGCGUGCCUAAUACAUGCAAGUCGAGCGAACGGACGAGAAGCUUGCUUCUCUGAUGUUAGCGGCGGACGGGUGAGUAACACGUGGAUAACCUACCUAUAAGACUGGGAUAACUUCGGGAAACCGGAGCUAAUACCGGAUAAUAUUUUGAACCGCAUGGUUCAAAAGUGAAAGACGGUCUUGCUGUCACUUAUAGAUGGAUCCGCGCUGCAUUAGCUAGUUGGUAAGGUAACGGCUUACCAAGGCAACGAUGCAUAGCCGACCUGAGAGGGUGAUCGGCCACACUGGAACUGAGACACGGUCCAGACUCCUACGGGAGGCAGCAGUAGGGAAUCUUCCGCAAUGGGCGAAAGCCUGACGGAGCAACACCGCGUGAGUGAUGAAGGUCUUCGGAUCGUAAAACUCUGUUAUUAGGGAAGAACAUAUGUGUAAGUAACUGUGCACAUCUUGACGGUACCUAAUCAGAAAGCCACGGCUAACUACGUGCCAGCAGCCGCGGUAAUACGUAGGUGGCAAGCGUUAUCCGGAAUUAUUGGGCGUAAAGCGCGCGUAGGCGGUUUUUUAAGUCUGAUGUGAAAGCCCACGGCUCAACCGUGGAGGGUCAUUGGAAACUGGAAAACUUGAGUGCAGAAGAGGAAAGUGGAAUUCCAUGUGUAGCGGUGAAAUGCGCAGAGAUAUGGAGGAACACCAGUGGCGAAGGCGACUUUCUGGUCUGUAACUGACGCUGAUGUGCGAAAGCGUGGGGAUCAAACAGGAUUAGAUACCCUGGUAGUCCACGCCGUAAACGAUGAGUGCUAAGUGUUAGGGGGUUUCCGCCCCUUAGUGCUGCAGCUAACGCAUUAAGCACUCCGCCUGGGGAGUACGACCGCAAGGUUGAAACUCAAAGGAAUUGACGGGGACCCGCACAAGCGGUGGAGCAUGUGGUUUAAUUCGAAGCAACGCGAAGAACCUUACCAAAUCUUGACAUCCUUUGACAACUCUAGAGAUAGAGCUUUCCCCUUCGGGGGACAAAGUGACAGGUGGUGCAUGGUUGUCGUCAGCUCGUGUCGUGAGAUGUUGGGUUAAGUCCCGCAACGAGCGCAACCCUUAAGCUUAGUUGCCAUCAUUAAGUUGGGCACUCUAAGUUGACUGCCGGUGACAAACCGGAGGAAGGUGGGGAUGACGUCAAAUCAUCAUGCCCCUUAUGAUUUGGGCUACACACGUGCUACAAUGGACAAUACAAAGGGCAGCGAAACCGCGAGGUCAAGCAAAUCCCAUAAAGUUGUUCUCAGUUCGGAUUGUAGUCUGCAACUCGACUACAUGAAGCUGGAAUCGCUAGUAAUCGUAGAUCAGCAUGCUACGGUGAAUACGUUCCCGGGUCU
rnacentral:rRNA from 1 species